rnacentral:rRNA from 1 species
UACGGAGGGUGCGAGCGUUGUCCGGAAUCACUGGGCGUAAAGGGCGCGUAGGCGGUUUAGUCAGUCAGAUGUGAAAUUCCCGGGCUUAACCUGGGGGCUGCAUUUGAUACGUCUAGGCUUGAGUGAGGAAGAGGGUUGUGGAAUUCCCAGUGUAGAGGUGAAAUUCGUAGAUAUUGGGAAGAACACCGGUGGCGAAGGCGGCAACCUGGUCCUUUACUGACGCUGAGGCGCGAAAGCGAGGGGAGCAAACAGG